rnacentral:piRNA from 1 species
UCCUGGGUCACAUUGACCUUGCACUGCAUGG